UACGUAGGGGGCUAGCGUUUGUCCGGAAUCAUUGGGCGUAAAGAGCGUGUAGGCGGCUCGGUAAGUCCGCUGUGAAAGUCCAGGGCUCAACCCUGGAAUGCCGGUGGAAACUGUCGAGCUAGAGUCCGGAAGAGGCGAGUGGAAUUCCUGGUGUAGCGGUGAAAUGCGCAGAUAUCAGGAGGAACACCGAUGGCGAAGGCAGGUCUCUGGGCAUUAACUGACGCUGAGGAGCGAAAGCAUGGGGAGCGAACAGG
rnacentral:rRNA from 1 species